CCCUCCCCCUCUCUAUUUCAGCCGAGAGAAAGAAGAAAAUUCCAGAGAGAGAGAGAGAGAGGAGAGAGAGAGAGAGAGGAAGAUGGAAGCAAACCUAUUCGAGAAAAUUGCGCUUUCUGAGUUCGUGAAGCGGAAAUUGUGAACCCUAACAAGUCUUUGAGAGCGCUGAGUUUACAGAAAUAAAUGGUGUUUUUGGAUGGGUGCCACGGUAAAUGUGAAACUUAACAAGUCUUAUGAGGAGAUAAUCAAAUUGAAAAGGGUUGUGAAUUGAUUGAGGUCGAAGGCUGGAACAAGUACGGCUGGUUGAAUUUUGUGGCAUCUAUUUUUAGUGCUGAAAGCAGAAUUUUUGCCUUGUUGUAUCGAUGAAUUCCAGUAAUACAUAUGCAGCAUGGACCUAGUGAUUCUGUCUCUAGCAUUGGUUUCAGUCCAAGGUUAGAUGCUGGGAUGUCAUGAUAGCAGUCAUGCGAAAAGAGUCCUUAUAUCCAUGAGCAACCGGUCAUGUUCUGUGCUCUACAUUGAAGGAUGAUGAUUCUACAAUGUUUACUAGAGGAUGUGAUAAGACUGAGAAACUGUGGCCCUUGAUGUCUGGCGGCCAACUGAUACAAGAUGUAGUGCACGAUGCAUCUAUCAAAGAAGUUGCUCUGAUUGAACAGUUGAAUUACCUAGUUACGGGAAGCUGGGAUAAGACACCAAGGUGGAACCUCAACUCAGUGGCUCCGUCUCCUGCCUUAGUUGUAGUCCUAAGUUAAAUUACUCGGUGGCCACUUCGUGGGAUAACCAGAUUAGGUGUGGG